GCACUUGUAGCUCAAUCGGAUAGAGCGACGGCCUUCUAAGCCGUAGGUUGAAGGUUCGAUUCCUUCCAAGUGUA
rnacentral:tRNA from 1 species